CCUACGGGAGGCAGCAGUGGGGAAUAUUGCACAAUGGGCGAAAGCCUGAUGCAGCAACGCCGCGUGAAGGAAGACGGUUUUCGGAUUGUAAACCUCUGUUCUUAGUGAAGAAUAGUGACGGUAACUAAGGGGCAAGCAACGGCGAACUACGUGCGAGCAGCCGCGGUAAUACGUAGGUGGCAAGCGUUGGCCGGAAUUACUGGGUGUAAGGGGAGCGUAGGCGGGAGGCCAAGUCAGCUGUGAAAACUACGGGCUUAACCUGUAGACUGCAGUUGAAACUGGCAUUCUUGAGUGAAGUAGGGGUGGGCGGAAUGCCUGGUGUAGCGGUGAAAUGCGGAGAUAUUCGGAGGAACACCGGUGGCGAAGGCAG
rnacentral:rRNA from 1 species